CCGUGCUAGAUGGGAAGUUAGCGGUGUCCUGAACCCUAAAUCCGCUUUAAGGGAUUGAAAUCCCCUGUUGAGGUUUAAUUCCCUUGAUCUAGUAAGGCUCUGUAUGUAUGAAAGAUCCUGCGCAAUGAAGGGCUACGAACCUCGUCAGGACUGGAAGGUAGCAGCGAUAAGUGGAUACCGACAUGUGCCGCAGGUAAUCUGAAACGCAUACGGAGCUUUACUAGAUCAAGGGAAAGAUCGAAGCAGGGGGCACGG
rnacentral:SRP_RNA from 1 species